rnacentral:rRNA from 2 species
UAGGGAAUCUUCGGCAAUGGACGAAAGUCUGACCGAGCAACGCCGCGUGAGUGAAGAAGGUUUUCGGAUCGUAAAACUCUGUUGUUAGAGAAGAACAAGGACGUUAGUAACUGAACGUCCCCUGACGGUAUCUAACCAUAAAGCCACGGCUAACUACGUGCCAGCAGCCGCGGUAAUACGUAGGUGGCAAGCGUUGUCCGGAUUUAUUGGGCGUAAAGCGAGCGCAGGCGGUUUCUUAAGUCUGAUGUGAAAGCCCCCGGCUCAACCGGGGAGGGUCAUUGGAAACUGGGAGACUUGAGUGCAGAAGAGGAGAGUGGAAUUCCAUGUGUAGCGGUGAAAUGCGUAGAUAUAUGGAGGAACACCAGUGGCGAAGGCGGCUCUCUGGUCUGUAACUGACGCUGAGGCUCGAAAGCGUGGGGAGCAAACAGG